GCCCCUAUAGUCUAGUGGAUAUGUUCUAACUACAUAUGAUGCAACCUUGCGGAGGUUGUGACCCGGGUUCAAAUCCCGGUAGGGGCA
rnacentral:tRNA from 1 species